ACGGAAGGCAGCAGUGGGGAAUAUUGCACAAUGGGGGAAACCCUGAUGCAGCGACGCCGCGUGAGUGAAGAAGUUAUUCGUAAUGUAAAGCUCUAUCAGCAGGGAAGAAAAUGACGGUACCUGACUAAGAAGCCCCGGCUAACUACGUGCCAGCAGCCGCGGUAAUACGUAAGGGGCAAGCGUUAUCCGGAUUUACUGGGUGUAAAGGGAGCGUAGACGGUCUAGCAAGUCUGAUGUGAAAGGCAGGGGCUCAACUCCUGGACUGCAUUGGAAACUGUUAGUCUUGAGUGUCGGAGAGGUAAGCGGAAUUCCUAGUGUAGCGGUGAAAUGCGUAGAUAUUAGGAGGAACACCAGUGGCGAAGGCGGCUUACUGGACGAUAACUGACGUUGAGGCUCGAAAGCGUGGGGAGCAAACAGGAUUAGAUACCCUGGUA
rnacentral:rRNA from 1 species